CAGCGACUUUGCUGUGGGUGGAAAAGUUACCAUGCUUGUGCUAAUCACGCUUUUGGGUGCCUUUCUCGUCGUCGCCCUCUUCUUUCAGUGCAUACGGCGUCGUUUCUGCUCGCGCAAGCCGCCGGAGAAGUAAAGCGUAGCCUUGCAGAAAGCGGCGAUGAAGAUCGGGCGUCCACCGCAGCCGCGGCGUUUUCGAUCGGACGUAAGGCCUAAUCGUUGGCGGCUUCUUCUCUCUGCUAUAGCUUGACUUGUUGCUUGCUUCCUCCUCCUCAUCGUUUUCCUCGCAAAGGCUUGUUCUAGAACAUUCUGUCUCAUCACUUCCUUCCAUGGUCUUACCUGAAGGGAAAAGGGAUGAUCAUCAAUUUUUACAAACCCUAGAAGCUCAAGAGUGAAAAGGAUCUACGUUUGCUAAAACAAUAGAUCUCUUAGUUUUGAAGUAUUGUAGUAUGAUGACUUCACGUUUGAGAUUUUUUUUUUCUAUAAUUCUACAUAGAAUGAAUCAAGAAUGAAACCCUAAGACAUAGUGAGAGGAAGAGAUGAAGUACUCUCUCUCUCAUUAUAAUAUUUUAAUGGGAAUCAUUAUGCCUCUUAAUAU